rnacentral:snRNA from 1 species
UUGAACUCUGGAAACUUCUCCU